AGAACGAACGCUGGCGGCAUGCCUAAUACAUGCAAGUCGAACGAGAUCUUCGGGUCUAGUGGCGCACGGGUGCGUAACGCGUGGGAAUCUACCCUUGGGUUCGGAAUAACAGUUGGAAACGACUGCUAAUACCGGAUGAUGACGAAAGUCCAAAGAUUUAUCGCCCAGGGAUGAGCCCGCGUAGGAUUAGCUAGUUGGUGAGGUAAAGGCUCACCAGGCUACGAUCCUUAGCUGGUCUGAGAGGAUGAUCAGCCACACUGGACUGAGAC
rnacentral:rRNA from 1 species